GCUUUGGGACCACAGUUGACUGUGGGUAACUGAAACCUUUGAGAGCAAAAUCAAAACCGCAGGUAAGAGGGAACUGCUGCAGUUGUGUGCCUAGCAUCGUACUCAGAGCCCCAGCGAAGGUGGAAGGAGUACGUAAGGCACUUCCAUGCCUGAUAGACGACGUUUCACCUCCUGUGGUCACCAUGCGCAGGUACAGCAAAAUUCAUGGGCCCCAUGUAAGUUCAGAAGAAAGAGUUCGUGCAGCUUGCCAAUCCUUAUAAAUCAGGCCACAACACAACCAAAUCAUGACUUUUUCUACAAGAGCACAGAAGAACUUUUAAUCAGUCCAUACUUCAUAGAAACUCAUAGGAUGUUAGUGAUUGCUGUCAGCUACCAGUGCAAUGGGAGGUCAACCUGAGAUGUCUCAAUAUUUUAUUCUGCUCUGGAAUUUGUUCCAACAAUUGUCUCUCCAGGUCCUGCCACACCUGCUGUAGUUAUCUGAGACCCUGGCCUGGACCUCAGAGGACAUUCUGCAUUACCUCAACCCAAGAGAAAAGAUAAUUAUCACUUUGGUGCUCCUCUUUGCCGGUGGACAGCACUGGACUAGAAAUUUACAUCUCAAACCCAGCACACUGGUUACGCUCAGGAGAAGGGGAAACAAGUAGCACUCGGGAGGAUAUUUAACAGGGUCUUUCUUUCAGUAAGGUUUAAUUGUAUUAA